UACAGAGGUGGCAAGCGUUGUUCGGAAUUACUGGGCGUAAAGUGUGCGCAGGCGGCCGCGCAAGUCGAGUGUGAAAGCCCCGAGCUUAACUUGGGAAUUGCGCUCGAAACUACGUGGCUGGAGUGUGGCAGAGGAAGGUGGAAUUCCAGGUGUAGCGGUGAAAUGCGUAGAGAUCUGGAGGAACACCGAUGGCGAAGGCAGCCUUCUGGGCCAACACUGACGCUCAUGCACGAAAGCGUGGGGAGCAAACAGG
rnacentral:rRNA from 1 species